UAUCGGCAGUGACGACACGGAGCUGCGAUACUCCUCCCAAUACGAGGAACGCCUGGACCCUUUCUCCUCCUUCAGCAAGAGGGAGCGGCAGAGGAAGUACCUGGGCCUGAGCCCCUGGGACAAGGCCACACUUGGCAUGGGCCGUCUGAUUCUCUCCAACAAGGUGGCCCGCACCAUCGGCUUCUUCUACACCUUGUUCCUGCACUGCCUGGUCUUUCUGGUG